rnacentral:rRNA from 1 species
CACCUACGGGUGGCUGCAGUCGAGAAUCUUUCACAAUGGGGGCAACCCUGAUGGAGCGACGCCGCGUGGAGGAUAAGGUCUUCGGAUUGUAAACUCCUGUCAUGCGCGAACAAGGUUGCCAGGUUAAUACCUUGGCAAAUUGAUGGUACCGCAAGAGGAAGAGACGGCUAACUCUGUGCCAGCAGCCGCGGUAAUACAGAGGUCUCAAGCGUUGUUCGGAAUCACUGGGCGUAAAGGGUGCGUAGGUGGCGUGGUAAGUCAGAUGUGAAAGCCCGGGGCUCAACCUCGGAACUGCAUCCGAUACUGCCAUGCUUGAGUACUGAAGAGGUGACUAGAAUUCUCGGUGUAGCAGUGAAAUGCGUAGAUAUCGAGAGGAAUACCAAAGGCGAAGGCAGGUCACUGGGCAGUUACUGACACUGAGGCACGAAGGCCAGGGGAGCAAACGGGAUUAGAUACCCCGGUAGUCCUGGCAGUAAACGGUGCACAUUUGGUGUGGGGGGAUUCGACCCCUUCCGCGCCGGAGCUAACGCGUUAA